rnacentral:rRNA from 1 species
UACUUUAAGUAUCCUAAAGGGUUGUUCGAGACUAGAACGUUGAUAGGCAGGGUGUGUAAGCGUUGUGAGGCGUUGAGCUAACCUGUACUAAUUGCCCGUGAGGCUUAACCAUACAACACCCAAGGGGUUUUGUA